GUAUGCCAGAACAUAUCCCUGCAAUUCUUGCCUGGUUUCCCACUGAAGCUAAGCAGGGUUGAGCCUGGCCAGUACCUGGAUGGGAGACCUCCUGAGGUAGCUGCUGGAAGUGGUAUUAG
rnacentral:rRNA from 1 species